CGCGCCAGCCGCGCUAUUGGGGGAUGGAAACCACCUUAUAGAGUCUCUCCUCGGUCCUCGAUGCGAGCGGAUUGUCACAUGCUUCUGCUUGCACGGCAGAGCGCGUUUCCUCUUCUUCAUUCGAGUUCGAUUUUGCGGUGGAGAACUUUCUUCGUGGUGUGAGUGAGCGAGACAUGGCGGUCAGUCAGUCGGGGCGAGCACAAAAAAAAAGUAGCGGUCGGAAGAAAGUUACAAAAGUCAUAUCGAGGCCACACUGCCGGAAUAUCCGCACCGCGUUAUCACGAUACUUCUUCCUCACAGUGAACCGCGACAUUCUUUCCCUCAUUUUUUUUUACUUUUCAAUUUAUUCUUCGUGGUAUGAGUGCAUUGUGCGAUUGAACAUGGCGACCGCUCACGUGUGUUUACUCGGGACAGGUGUGACGUAGUGAAGCCGUUUCUUUGAAAGCUUUGUGAUCCGUUAUCUGGAUCAAUUGAUUAAAUUGAUAUUGAUUAAAUUGAAAAUUUGUCGAAGCCUGAUGAAUUAAAGAGAAGAUAGAGAUGAGAGAAUAAUAAUCGAUUCACUGUCCAAGUGUUAAUACCAAUGCCUGUUAUAUAAGAAACACCAGAUAGAGAGAAAGUUCACCAGUUGCGUUUCUGAUGACUUAUUUUGUGAAUCGAUUGCGGUGAUGUGUACCGUCAAUUGUACAUGCAACGUUACGCAGCAUUGCCCUGGCUUUGUUUAGAGCCUUCGACGAGUUCCAGUGAAAAGGGCUCUCCUCGUGCGUGUUGUACGAGAUAUAGACGUUUGCAUGGCGCACAUGGCGUACUGGAUAUACUGUUCAGCAUUGUUGUCACUGCGGAAUUGGCAAACCGCGAUCCGAUUGUUGUGUACUUAGAUUUGUCGAUCUCUAAAUUUUCUUCGACGUUCACAUUUGUUUAUUAAUUUGUUGCAUGUCACGUAUAAUGACAGACUUUAUCGCAAGCAUAAGGUAGCGGCAAAUUUAUGUGGUUUCAAGUGAACAGUAAAAGAGAAACCGAAAGAAGAUUGAACUACGUCACAUCUGCUAAGAGAAUGUAUGCGGUUACUAAUGAUUAUGUAAACGCGUCACACGACCGACGGAUGUUCAUUCAUCGGGUUCUCAUGUAUCGACGAAGAGAGUUACUUAUUGGCAGAUAUUGGCAUCGUGCCGGGUUUCAAAACUUUGAAACUCGGUCAAGCUGCAACGUUUACGAUUCGACAGCCGGACAAUAAUUGUCGCCCAAAAACCGAUCGUUUGCGGAUACCUGCGAAUUUCUGCCGUUUGCUCAGCUGCGAAUGAUAUCCCUGAAUUAUCAAAAGCCUGAGUAUUUCGCAAGGAUCAUGCGAGACAGGAGAGUUGUCAGAAGGUAAAAUUUAUUUUACGCAAAAGAAUAUGCCACAAGAUUAAAUUUGUCUUAAUUUACAGCACAUUAUUACAUGGAUCAGAAUAUUAAGCGAUAACUUUGCUUUCAUUCCCCAAGUGAAAAUUUUAAACUAAAAUUAAUUUAUUGUACAAAAUAUCUUACAUUAGGAAAAUAAUACCUCACAAUAAUUAAUAUAUAACGUAAAAAUGUAUUGUGCAUUAAGGAUUAUCGCAAAAAAGAAAUUGCAAAGGAUUAUCAAUUUAUCGAAAUAACCGUUAUUGAUGCCCUGAUCGUAUCGACAUUAAUUGUAUUUAAAGCUAGGAAACCAAUUCAUUUAAAAAAUAAUCAAAAGCGCGCGAUUGAUAAUUAGACAUAUAAUAAUGGCCUAACUGUAUCUUGGAUAGGAAAAGCAUUUGAUGGAAAGCGAACUGAAGGCGGCGACGUUACACGUAAAUAAAUCACAAUAAUUAUCGCGCACUACCGAUUCUGUGGAUACAUUCGAGAACGAAAUUGCCGCUAGAAUCAAUCUCGCCGGCGCAUUAAGCUCCUAGAUCGUGUCGUGAUAACGGAAACGACCUAAAACAGAAUGAAUGGUUAGCCUCAUGUAUCGUCGUGAAGUCGAUCGCCUACAGUAUUAUCUGAUCUCGGAUUAUAAUGAUCGCACCCAUUGUAUUUAAUCGCCAUGCGAGUGCGCGGUUCCGCAAUCGUGCGUUAUCUCGAUCCUUUCGGUGAAACUGAGAGAUUUCUUCCGGAAGAUAAUCAACGCGCGAUAGUUCUACUUGAUAUCUACUUGUUGUCGAUGUAAACACCAAAAGGUCUAGUUUCCGCAAACGCACGUGAGUAAUUGGACGACGCCAUUGUACGAUAUAUUAUCUUUUUUUGCGAUAUCAAAUAGCAAGAUAUCAAAUCGGCGCGUUCUUACAAAGGAAAUUUUAAAUUAGCGAUGUCAUGGUCUAAUAUCGUUUUCUUCAAGCAAGACGUUUCGUUUCCAAUUUGUAUCGGAAGUAUAAGCUCAGUAUUAUCUUUCAGAAUCGUGUAACGCGUUUAGUAAAUUUGUUUUACACGAAUGGUAUGUGGAGCGUAUAACUUUGGAAGUUACGAAAGGCCGUGGUUUUUUUUACUAAAUCUUGGGAGAGCAAACGUCACAACUAAACCACCGCUAUACGCUAAGCAACCAUUAUUAUUCGCAAUAAUGACAGACGUCCGCGCUUCUGCGGUCUGCCAUUCCGGUCAGUCCAGUUUCUACUACAUGCUUAUGCCUCUUUCGCACAACUAUCGAUUACAAAGUAUCAGAGACCCGCCGAUCUGUGUUUAAGGAAAUGAAAGAACGUGUACGGCUCAAUGGUGACCGCGUUCUGGGUCCACACCCGUAUGCGAUUUGUUCGUGUCGCGCCGCGCCGCUGCUGCCGUGUAUGCGUCGUAAUAGUUGUAAUAAUAAUAAAAAAAGAGUUCAAAAAAGCGACCGCCCUACGGUCGAAUCUAAUUCAUAUCUCGUGCGUUGCGUUAACGGUUCGACGGUACCUACAUGUCCGCUAUGUUACUCUUGCGGUUCUUCCGCCGUCGCGAACGAUUGCCGCUACAUAUUUUCUAGAAUCGGAAAUUACAUUGAUACCGUACUAUAAGAAAUAAUAACGCUUUUGCGAGACAUCCAGGUUUCCGCGAAACUCUUUUUUCCAUGCAAAUAAACGCGUUUUCUCCCGUAAAAAAUACUGCUACAUUAUUUGAUGGCAAACGGAACGUUGCAAAAUUUAAAGAUAAUUUUUUUUACGAUAUAGAGCGAUAUUUAUAAUCGAA
rnacentral:lncRNA from 1 species